CCUUCGCAGCCCGCACCGCCGCCCCGAGCGUGUCUGGCCGGCCUCGCCCCUGCCCCCGCCCUCCCGGCGCCGCGCCCGGGGGAGGGGGCUGCAGGUCCCGGGAGGGGUGGGGAGGCGCGGGGGCGGCGGGGGGCGCGGCGGGGCGGCAAUCUCGGCCCCGCGGAGCGCUGCCCUUUUAUGGAAAUGAAGGACCCGGUGCCGGGAUUGAAUCCAACAUCCGGGCUCUCGACUGCGGGCUCUGAGGAGGGGGAGCGGCGGAACGCGGGCGACCUUUCCCGGGGGCGCGGGUGGGCGGCGGGGCGGUGGGAGCUCGGGCUGGACUGGGCCCCCGCGGCGGGUGUCCGCGCUGGCAGCCGGGGGAGGGGGGCUUGUCCGUGAGAAACGGCCCCAGGAAAUUCCCAGGGCAAGGUCGUUUUCGGGGAACAAAGUCCUCCCGCCCCCUCCCCACGCCUGGAGCCGGACCAAAAGUCUUGGAGCGGUGAGAGGUGCGGCACUCCGGGAGCUGGAGAGAGGACUCCGGGAUGGAGAAACUUUAAAAAGUAAAUGCCCAAACCAGCUCCUUGAACGUCCCACAAAAGAAUGAGAAAACCGAGGGAGGUGAACCACGAAAACUGCUUUGCAAGCAGUGUCCGGCACCAUCAGCAACUCCUACUGGACUCCCAGGAGUUUGCAAGCGUUCUUAACCCCUUCGGAAGCUUCCUCCGGCUGCAAGUUCAACAGAUGAUGCUCUUGCUAUAGGGGAAAGGAAAGACACAACUUCGUUUCACGAGUUUUACUCGGAAACCGUUUCCCCAGCUUCUCGAGCUCUUUGUACGGGGAAGAGCUAAACAACUUCACCUGCUGAAGACUGACUAGUGAUGGAGAACGGUCCUCCUGCUUCCCGCUUUUGUUUCCACUUCCCCCAUUAAUGUCAAGGGGACUGCGUUCAGAAACAGCAAACCAGAGAAACUGCCUCGCUAGCAAAUUAAUGGGCUCAAAAAGUAAACGUCAAGAAGGCAUAGAUUAAAAUACCUUUUCUUGAUAAAAGACUACAGUUAGCGGUCUCAUUGUACUGUCCCAAACGCUUGGAAAGGGAACCCACCAGGCAGAUAACCUUUUGUUCAUUAACAUAACUGGGAAACAAGAUAGGAGGCCUCAAGAAAGGGGUGGAACUCAGAAAGGAGUGAAAGCAGCAAAAUUUAGUCAGAUGCCAAAGGCUUGGCAGAAAAAAAAAUUGGGAAAACCACUACAGUGUUUUUAACUAGUCAUCAUGGAGAAAUUGAUGCCUUGAGACUCUCUUCUCUCUACUUUCCAAUUAUUUUUACUCAUGGAUGUUCCAAAUAGUUCACUUGAAAGCAAUAUGAAUGUCCGGAGAGGAGGGAGUUUAUGUAAUAUGGUGUUGAAAAUAUAUAGGAAAAUGUUUUUAAUAAAAUAAGGAAUUGCUUGUUAGGGCACAAAACUGCGGAACUAGAUAUGCAGCUGUAAAAUUACGAGCUUAUUUAUUUUUAAAUGUUCAGAGAAAAAGACUAGAAGGAGAUACAACAAAAUUUUAAGAAGCUGUCUGGGUCUUGAAAUCACCGGAGGUUCCCCCCCCCCCCAUUCUUUAUUUUCUACGAACUUGGGAACUUUACACCAUCACCUAGAAUUGUAUCCAGCAUUUCAGUUUCUCUGUACGUGCCAUUAUAUUCACGAUGAUAGACACUGGAAAGAGCAGCUACUGACUGAACUAUGGGCAGGAUUUUCAGAAGUUUCUUUGGUAUUUUUAAAAAAUAUAUCUAAAUAAAUCUUGAGUUCUUUAA